rnacentral:rRNA from 1 species
UGAGGAAUAUUGGUCAAUGGACGCAAGUCUGAACCAGCCAAGUAGCGUGCAGGAUGACGGCCCUAUGGGUUGUAAACUGCUUUUAUGCGGGGAUAAAGUGAGGGACGUGUCCCUUUUUGUAGGUACCGCAUGAAUAAGGACCGGCUAAUUCCGUGCCAGCAGCCGCGGUAAUACGGAAGGUCCGGGCGUUAUCCGGAUUUAUUGGGUUUAAAGGGAGCGUAGGCCGGAGAUUAAGCGUGUUGUGAAAUGUAGUGGCUCAACCUCUGCACUGCAGCGCGAACUGGCCUUCUUGAGUACGCACAACGUGGGCGGAAUUCGUGGUGUAGCGGUGAAAUGCUUAGAUAUCACGAAGAACU